GGGAUCAAUCCCCAUCAAAACUAACUUGAUUACAUGAUAGAUUUCAUCCUACUCAUCACCGCCCAGCGAGCCUACGAAUAGAUUACUCAUGAACAACGAAGAGCUUCAUGGAAUUGGAGAGGGAAGAAGGUUGACGAUGACGAUGGCGACGAUUUCCCCUCUCCGGAGCCCAAGACGGACUCCAGAUCUGCCCUCCAGAUGAAGAACAGGUGGUGGCGGCGCCUCCUUAUCGAAAACACGACAAAACUUCUCUCUUUAUUUUUUCUGGGACGAAAGUGAACUUAUAGACCUGAGGUUGGGGGUGGCAGAGCCGUGUGGGCCCCAAAAGCCUGCCCACCGCCACCAGGGUGGGUGGUGGCGGAGCCAGGGCUUGUGGCCCACUGGCCCACCCCCUCACGUGGAACUUGGCGCAGAUAUUUUUCUUAUUUUCCAAAACUGCUCCCCGUAAAUUUUCAGGACGUUUGGAGAACUUUGAUUUCUGCACAAAAAUAACACCAAGGCAAUUCUGCUGAAAACAGCGUCAGUCCACGUUAGUUCGAUUCAAAUCAUGCAAAUUAGAGCCCAAAACAAGUCCGCGUAUCAACUCCCCCAAGCUUAAAACCUUGCUUGUCCUCAAGCAACUCAGUUG
rnacentral:lncRNA from 1 species